UACGAAGGGGGCUAGCGUUGCUCGGAAUUACUGGGCGUAAAGGGAGCGUAGGCGGACAGUUUAGUCAGAGGUGAAAGCCCAGGCUCAACCUUGGAAUUGCCUUUGAUACUGACUGUCUUGAGUACGGGAGAGGUGUGUGGAACUCCGAGUGUAGAGGUGAAAUUCGUAGAUAUUCGGAAGAACACCAGUGGCGAAGGCGACACACUGGCCCGUUACUGACGCCUGAGGCUCGAAAGCGUGGGGAGCAAACAGG
rnacentral:rRNA from 1 species